rnacentral:rRNA from 1 species
GACGAACGCUGGCGGCGUGCUUAACACAUGCAAGUCGAACGGUAAGGCCCUUCGGGGUACACGAGUGGCGAACGGGUGAGUAACACGUGGGUGAUCUGCCCUGCACUUCGGGAUAAGCCUGGGAAACUGGGUCUAAUACCGGAUAGGACUCCGGACUGCAUGGUCUGGGGUGGAAAGCUUUUGCGGUGUGGGAGGGGCCCGCGGCCUAUCUGCUUGUUGGUGGGGUGAUGGCCUACCAAGGCGCCGACGGGUAGCCGGCCUGAGAGGGUGACCGGCCACACUGGGACUGAGGUACGGCCCAGACUCCUACGGGAGGCAGCAGUGGGGAAUAUUGCACAAUGGGCGCAAGCCUGACGCAGCGACGCCGCGUGAGGGAUGACGGCCUUCGGGUUGUAAACCUCUUUCAGCAUCGACGAAGCGAAAGUGACGGUAGGUGCAGAAGAAGGACCGGCCAACUACGUGCCAGCAGCCGCCGUAA